rnacentral:lncRNA from 1 species
UAAUUAGAACUCGGUAUUUGACUACUUUGAUUUAGGCCUUGAAUGAUAGCAGGGAGUUUAGCUCUCAAAAGAUCUUCUACUUGAGAUUGUAGAUUCACUUGGUGGUUGCUAAUUUGAGCUUCUAAAGACUCAAACCGAGAGGCCAACUCUUCAUUCUUUUUCUUCAACUCUUCAUUCUCCUUUUGCAAAUUGAGAUAAGUUUUUCUACAGGAAAUUGCAAUACAAGCGUGAACACGCCUUUUUCCAGAAAAAAAAUAGCAAAUUAUCAAAGAAACUAGAAAAUUACAAUACAAGCGCGAACACGCCUUUUUCCAAAAUAAAAGUAAUUAAACAACUAGCUCAAUAAACACAACAGCUAAAUUCUGGAGUCAAUAACAUUUAUUCCUUUAGGUUGCAAUGAAUAUAAUUUUGGAAUUCUCAAAUACUCUAAAUAGAGUAAUACACUAACAGCCCAUUCAUUUCACUAUAUAUAUAUAGGAUAUUAAUUUCAUAGAAUGAGACAUCUAGUACCCUAUGUGCCCAUCUCAACAUACUUCAUUUAAAUCUCUCUGCAUUUUUAUAAGAGCUUGUUAAAUUUACUCAAAGAAGACAAUGAACAUGAAACGCAUGCUAGCUUAUGGAUACAGAUUUUCUACGCAAUUCACAGCACAAUUUUAGAGAACAAGUAACAACAAACUAACACAGCCACCUUCUCGAGCAUGGACCUCAAGAAAGGAGAGUUCUCACUUUUUUAUGCAGAUGUAAGGGAACUAAAACAAAGAGAACUUCGGAAAGAAAAUCCCUCAUACCUUCUCUAAUUUAUUCACACCUUUCGCAUAUAUAUUCUUUCUUUUGCAGCAGAGCAAGACCAAACAUAUAGUGGACCUGAAAUGCAAAGGCAUCCAAAAUUACAAGUGUAUCAGAUUUUGUACGAAUACACUUUUAAUAGGAAAAAUAAAGUUGGUGUAUCUGAUGAUAAGUUUGUAGGUGAGAAGAAACACGUGGAAUACUUCGAAUCAAUCGGGCAUCUAAUUAGGAUGACUCCCCACAUCGACAACCAGAGGAUACUAAAGAAGAUUCUCCAUUUGAAGGAUGAUCAAUAACAAAAACAAACAACAAAGGUAGCUAGAUAUAUCUCUUCAUGAAAUCCCAAUAAAAUUAUACUAUAUAGAAUGUUUUUUCUAACACUAAUUUGAGAUGGCAAGCAACAUGAUCAGCAAAGUAAUACAUAAUCAAAUAACUUAUGCAAAAUUUGAGAAACAUAACAUUUACAUUGAAAUAUGAGCAUCAAGAACAUUAAUUACUAUUCAAGUUAUUGAAAAAAGUAUUAACAGUUGAAAAACCUCCAUCUCACCUCACCAUCAUCCACCGCCUAAUCUGUCAAAGUGGAAACAGCAAAAACAACUCCCAACAGACCCUCAAUAGCCAAAGUGAUGGCAUGUGCUUCACUAGCAACCAAGAUAGUAGUAUUUGAUGCUUCAAUAUCUAAGCUCCAGUCAAUAUCCGACACUGGAAAAAGCUCAACAUGUCAAUAGACACUGCAUUCACGAUUAAUAUUGGAAACUACAGCGUUAAAAGGUUUAAUUGACAAAGAAAAAUAGAAGACGAAUUGAAAGGUGUCGUGCUCACAAUCCAAAGUCAUAUAUAUAGAUUUAAAUAAAUAAUGUGCUGAGAAUUUAGUCUCUCAUUAACCUUAACUGCUACUUUUCAUCUGAAACAAGAUAAGAUUCAAAGAAAUACCAGGCAGCCCUAGUCAAUCCCGGCGGCAAGAGGCGCGGAGCCCUAGGCAGCCCUAGUCGAUCCCGGCGAAGAGAGCCCUGGGUGGCCCUAAUCGAUCCUGGGGGUGAAAGGGCGAAGAGAGCCCUAGGCAGCCCCAAUCGAUCCCGGCGGCGAGAGGACGAGAGGGCGGCGAGAGCCCUAGGCAGCUCUAGUCGAUCUGGCGGCGAUUCAGCGGCAGCCUGGAUGUGGGCGAGAGGGCGACAGGAGAAAUAUGAUUUUAGCGUAGUGUGAAAUUUGAUUGUAGUUUAGGAUUUUGAAAUCUACAUGUAGCGAGGGAGAAUGAGAGUUUGAUAUUGGGGAAGCGGGAGAACAAAUUUCAGACUUAGUAUAAAUUUUUUGCAAGCUCUAAAAUG